rnacentral:lncRNA from 10 species
GCACGAUCUCAGCUCAAUACAACCUCGACCUCCCAGGGUCAAGCGAUUCUUCUGCCUCAGCCUCCUAAGUAGCUGGGAUUGCACCUGGCUAAUUUUUGUAUUUUUAGUAGAGACAGAAUUUCACCAUGUUGGCCAGGCUGGUCUCAAAACUCCUGACCCCGGGUGAUCGCCCAUCUCAGCCUCCCAAAGUGUUGGGAUUACAGGCGUGAGCCACCACACCUGGCCUAGAGUAUACUUUUCAAUUUAUAGUUAAAAAUAUGUUUUGAAAGAAAUAAUAUGUUACUCCUAUUUGGAUUUUUUUCAAAUUAACUUUUUUACUAUUUAAAGUCGGUAGCUCCAUAUUAAGAAGAGGAAGCAUAAAUACUGAAUGAAGCAUACAUAUUUGAAACAUUUACAUUAGGCUUCAGAACAUUUUCACCAAUGUUCUAUGGAACAAUGGACAUAUUCUAUGUUCAAUGGACACACUCACCUUGAUUCUAUCUUUGAUUUGUUUUACAAUUCUGCAAGGCCUCUAAGUAAUGGAACGUUACAGGUUUCAAUAACCAGUUACAUGGUGAUGAUACUCAAGUCUAUAUUCAGUUCCAGGUCUGUAUUUUCCAGUAUUGAACAGCUCCUUUUGUAUAUUCCACAAAUACCUCAAAAUCAGCCAUCUUCUAAAUAAAUUUAUUAUUUUAUACCAAAAAUAAGAUUCCCUAUGUACAGUAGAGUAUAUAACCAGCUACGUGGUUAGUAGCACCAUCAUCUAACUAGUCACUUGAGCAAGAAAGCUAGUAGUUAUCUGAGAUUCCCUCCUCGCCAUUAUAUUACCAUUUUCAAUUAGUUAAUGAGACUAGAGGAUUUUCCAAACUCAAUUUACCUCUCCUUCCCUCCCUCUUCUUUAUUCACCUUCCACUGCUUUAGUUCAACUCCUCACUUACACAAAUUUAGUAUCCUCCCUACCUCCCAUCUUCUUCUCUAACUCAACCUCUUCUCUGCUGUCAGAGUAAUGUUUCUGUAACAGAAAUUAAACUACGUCAUUCCUCUACUUAAAAUUCUGUAAUGGCUCCUUAUUUCUGAUAAAAUAAGAUCCUUAGUAUAUAAGGCCCUUCUACUACCUACUACCUUGUCCUCAAAGACAGUAAUUCUAUCUUAACAUUAUUAUAUCUGCAGCCCAACUCUUUAACAAGGUUACUGUUAGGUAAGCCCAUUUCUUUAACAAGCUUACUGUUGGUACCUGCUUUCUAGCCACAACUCCCAUCACCCUUUCUGCCUCACAUGAUGCACAUCAUUUUUCUAGCAGGACUAAAUCAUCUGCCAGUGCCAGAGUACAUAAAUCUAUCUCAAGCUGUGACUUUUCACAGGCUGGUCCUUUUCCUGCUGUUACAGGUUUCUUUUUACAAUUCAUGCUCCAAGACUCAGUAAAAUGUUCCUACAUGGUUUCAUGCCUUAUUUCCUAUUUUUUUGGAUUUUUUUCCAAAAUUUCCAACUUUUCAAGACAAAAUUAACUAUUGCCUCUUCUGUAUUCCUGUUGCCCUUUGUAGAUUUAUUAUUAUUAUAUUUGUUAUAAGUAUUUUAUCAACAUAAUUCAUUUGAUUAUGAUAACACUUAUAAUAUUGCUGUAACUGCUCAGGUUUUUAACACCACUCCUAGAUAUUGAACCUUCAAAGUUCAGGGUUCUAUUCAUUUUUAUAUCUCCAGCAUCCAUCACAGUCUGGCUCCCAGGAAGUGAACUUAAUAAAGGUCUGUUGAAUAAAUAUAUCAACAUGAGACAAAAAUAAUAUCAUUAAGUAAUUGGUUGUUACUUUAAAUGUUCUCCUCUGAAAAGACAUUAUGAUUAGGGUGUGUGAUCAUUAGGCUACAUCCAAAUUAAUCUUGGAGAUGAUCAUUGUUGUCAUAUGUUUAUAUGCAAUCAAAACAUUAUGGUUAUUAAGUUGCUUUUGUCUUUUUCAUAUCGGAGAGACAAAUUUCAACUUUGUCAGGAUUUUUUUGUACACCACACCAUGCACUUUGCAGCAUGGAAUAUUCUUUUUCAACCUCUAAUAGCAAGGGGUAAGGAGGUGGACAUAAGAAAGGCUAACUUGGUAUGAAUGGAUCUUGGGACAAUUAUGCCUCUCUGCAUGGCUUCGUUAACAGGACCCUCGACAUUUUGCUCAUGAUCCAUUUAUCAGACUGUAAUUUCUAGUAUUCACUUUCUUCCUUCAUGAAAAUCCAAACUGUUUAUCUUUAGGUGCUUACCUUAAAAACAAAAGUUGCUCAGGCUGGGUGUGGCGGCACACUCCUUUUUUGGAGGAGCAUUUUGGGAGGCAAGGUGGGCAGAUUGCUUGAGUCCAGGAGUUUGAGACCAGCCUGGGAAACAUGGAGAAACCCCGUCCCUACAAAAAAAAAAAAAAAAAAAAAAGUUAGUCAGCCUGGUGGCAUGCAUCUGUGAUCCCAGCUACUCAGG